CUAAAGAUAUGAAAUGCGUAUCAAAUAAACGUCAAUAUCUUGUCCAUAUAUCAUUUCUCACAUUUUAAAAUCACACCUGCGCCUAAAGGAGUAUAGAAUAAUGAAGCUCCCGUUGGCUGUAAUUAUACUGGUAGGAUGCUUGAUGUAUGCACAGAGCGCAUCCAUAUGUACAGGUUGUGGCUUGAGAGCCUGUCCACCAGACACCAAAGUUGACCAGUGCGCCUGCCAGUGUAUUCCAUGGUUCGCCAUUGCUUCGUCACGUGGGGAGCGAGUUGAGCUGCCCCGACGGAUAUGACCUGGAUGAAUGUGUGUGUGCCUGCGUCACGUAUUAAGGAGAAAGACAUGUAAUACGAAGCCUUGAGGUUUCCACAGUAAAUAAACACACUGACCAAUCCCAAA